CCCACAUAAUUUGAAAUAUUUACUGAUGACUAAAUGAUUUUCUGUUUCUUGACGGAAAACUUUGCUGUCUCCUGUAUAUGCUAUAUCAGUUUUCAAGGUUACCUCAGAGCUCAAUCUGAGGCCCUCCUCUCACUUUAUAAUCUCUCUAGAUGAUCUCUGACAUGUUCUGAUAAACUUUGUGUAGUUGACUCUUUAUAUCUAACCCAAAUCUCUCCUAACUCCAAACCUAUAUACCCAAUGGCUUUCCUACGUAACUACCCCAGAGAUACUUCCGACUCAUCAUAUUGAAAACUAAAUUUAAGAUUCUGUGCAAAAGUGCUCCACUUUCAAUUCACUUUCCUAGCACUGAAUGGCUCAACCAUCCAACCUGCGAUACAAGCCAGAAAUUUGGGAGGUAUUCCUGACUUGUUUCUCUUCCUUACCCCCAUAGCUAAUCCAGUAAGUUUUGAAAAAUUUCACCAUGAAAUCCCUUGAAUCUGUCUACUUCUCCAUUUCUACCAAUAUAUCCUCCUACAUGCUUUAAUGAUCUCAUCUUGCUUAAACUACUAAAUGAACUAAUUAGUGUCUAACAACGAAAAAUCCAAACCCGUUGCCGUUGCAUCGAUUCCAACUCAUACUGACCCUAUAGGACAGACUAGAACUGCCCCAUAGGUUUCCAAGGAACAGCUGCUGAAUUUGAACUGCCAACCCUUUGUUAAACAACCUUUUGGUAAGGGAGUAAGGGAUCUACACUAAUGUCUAGAUCCCCUGUAACCCAUUUUCAAAGUGAUAGUUUUGAAAUGUAAAUCUGAUUAUAUCACGUCCUAUUUCAAACACAGUGAUGACUUCCCUGGUUCUUGAGAUACAAUUUCAUUUGGCCCACCUGGCCUUGUAUGGUCUGGCUCCUGUUUAUCUUUCCUGCAGUUGUACUGGCUUUCUUUCAGUCCUAUAGUCACCUGCUGUCACCCUCAAGUACUUAAGGCCUGUACCUUCUUCCCUUUCCUUGUGCAUAUUUAAUACUGUUUCACCCUCAGAGCUAAGCUGAAGCCUUCCCUGUCCUCCCUGAUUGGGGCAGUUUUUCCUAUUUAAAUGCUCUUCAUUGUACCAUUUCUCCUUCACAGCAGUCACUGCAGUUGUAAUUUCACAUUUGUUGGUGUGGUGAUUAAAUCAGUUCCCAUCUCCUACGCUCCUACCUUGGUUGUGGCUGAAAAUCUCUCUUGCUCACUGUAUCCUCAGCAGCGAGUACUGUACUUUGUAGAAAUCCUGAGAAUUUGAAAAGAGGAGCUGGAUUAUUGAUGUGAUAAGUUUUCUGAGCAGGAGGGAGGGGGUACAAAAUACCAGUGGUAGGAAUUGGCCGAGGUGAGGACGAGAGACCUGAGAAGGUAAGAGUUGCUUUGCAAUGCAGUGGACCAAAAAAGAUGCCUUGUUAUGUGUUACAGAAUGGUUAUACAAAUGUUCUGCUCAGAAACUGGUGGUAGUCAUCUCAAAUAUUGAAAGCAGUGAGGUCCUUGAAAGCUGGCAGUUUGAUAUUGAGGGUGAGAAGACUGCAAAAGAUGACAGUGCAGCCAGAGCAAAGUCUCAGAAAACUAUCCAAGAUGAGAUCCGUUCAGUGAUCAACAGGUCACGGCUACAGUAACAUUUCUGCCGCUGUUGGAUGUUUCCUGUUCAUUUGAUCUGCUGAUUUACACAGAUAAAGAUUUGGUUGUAACAUGAGAAAUGGGAAGAAUCAGGACCACAGUUCAUUAUCAGUUCUGAGGAAGUCUGUCUUCGUUCAUUCACUACUACAAUCCACAAAGUGAAUAGCAUGAUGGCCUACAAAACUCCUGUCAAUGACUGAGGGAUGAGCUGAGAAAAGUAGAGGAAUGAAAACAUGUUCCGGUUGAGCCCAUCAAAGUCUGAAAUAGAGCCCAGAAGGGACUGAGCUACACCUGGCCUCCAGGAUCCUUCUCCUAGUGUCUUCAGUCUGAGAAGACAAGCCUUCGUGGGAAUGUCCAAGCAAAGAAUGGUUAUACAAAUGUUCUGCUCAGAAACUGGUGGUAGUCAUCUCAAAUAUUGAAAGCAGUGAGGUCCUUGAACGCUGGCAGUUUGAUAUUGAGGGUGACAAGACUGCAAAAGAUGACAGUGCAGCCAGAGGAAAGUCUCAGAAAACUGUCCAAGAUGAGAUCCGUUCAGUGAUCAGACAGAUCACGGCUACAGUAACAUUUCUGCCGCUGUUGGAAGUUUCCUGUUCAUUUGAUCUGCUGAUUUACACAGAUAAAGAUUUGGUUGUACAUGAGAAAUGGGAAGAAUCAGGACCACAGUUCAUUAUCAGUUCUGAGGAAGUCUGUCUUCGUUCAUUCACUACUACAAUCCACAAAGUGAAUAGCAUGAUGGCCUACAAAACUCCUGUCAAUGACUGAGGGAUGAGCUGAGAAAAGUAAUGUACUUGCAAUUCUCAAAUGUGUUUUCCUGAAAGGAAGUCAACUACAAGUUGAUAUGUUUUGUUUUGCUGGUGAAUUUUUAGGUGGGGAAACAACAUUAUACCCUACUGAAGUGUGCAUCAUCCAUUUUUUGUACCUGUUUAAUGUUCCAAGGAGUUGACAUCAUGAAUUUGAGGAGAUGAUGGCUUUAUCCCCCAUUAAUGUAUUUGGCUAAAUAAAAAUAGAUGAGCACAAAAGCAUAUUGCACGUUGUCCAAAAGGGAAUCAGUGUUCUAAUGUCAGUUCUUUUGAAGGUGGCAACAGUAGUUGGAAAAACUUUAACUAUAAAGCUAAAUAAGUUCCUAAAUCAGACAUUUUGGUCAAGUAGCUUGAGUCAGAAUAUAGGUAGGGUGAUAUUUAAUUGUAAAUUACAGCAAAAGAAACCUGAAUAUUCAGAAUCUUUGUUUAGAUCCUGAAAAUAACUAAUAUAAUCCAUAAGUCAAGAAAUAUUGAGGUCUGUCCAGCAUUUUUUCAGAUCUAGAGUUCCCGUGUUGAAAAAAUUUCCAAUUAUUUGACUUUAUAUAACUUUACCUAGGAAGUUUUGAAUGUUUCUACUGUUUAAUUUCCUGUGAUAGAGAACUCUUUGAAAAUGUCCUUUUAUGUUUGAUAAAAUCAAGCUUUUAAUGACAAUGGUGAAAUAAAGUUAAAUUUGUGUGUUUUAAAUUUGCCUUAAAAUGUUUUGAUACUGGUGUUAAAUGGUAGCUAGAAUGGGUUUAGUAUUGGAAAUGAUUUUUUUGUGUCACCUAGGCUAUAGGUCCAAAGCAUACAAAGACGAGGAAAUCUUGAGGUACCUUGAAUCUAUUGUGUUUGGUUAUACCACUUUAAUCUCAUAAUAAUCGACUUAAAAUAAACAUUGAUUGUAUAACAAGAGAUAUGCCUUUUGGAAUUAGUUCAGUUUAGCAAAUGUUGGAUUGUAGUACCUUUAGGAGUUCCUGGGUGGUGCAAAAAAUUAAGCACUGGACUAGUAACGAAAAGUUUGGUGGUUCAAACUCACCUACAGGCAACUGAUAACUAAGGCCUGGCAAUCUGCUUUGAAAAUUUCAGAGCCUUGAAAAAUAUGGAACGGUUCUACUGUGUGCACGAUGGGUUGCCAUGAGGUAAAAUCAACUCGAGGGCAACUAACAAUAACAACAAAGUGCCUUUCUACACUCUUAGCCUUACCUUCUGGACUUAUGUGAAAGAUUUCUCACUAUAUCCUUAAUACGGCCUUUUUUUUACUCUCAGCUUCGUUAUCUUUAUAUACUUAUACAGCUUGCUUAUCCCUGUGCCUGCAUUAAUACUAUCAUGUGUUCUAUCUAGUUCUCACCUAUUUUUCCAAGGUCAAUUUAUUGCAAACUUCAAAGAAAUCUUUUAUAAUCUCUUCUUAAUCUCAUCUCUUUUAUAGUAAG